GCUCUUGUAGCUCAGUGGAUAGAGCAACGGAUUUCUAAUCCGUCGGUCGCAGGUUCGAUCCCUGCCGGGAGCA
rnacentral:tRNA from 1 species